GCAGAUGUGCUGCCUUCUUUGACCACUCCCAGCAGCGUGGCAUGGCGCCCAGUUUGCUUGUGAACACACCGACCUCCAACUCUAAGACCAGCAUCAACUCCUCCUAUUACUGCUAGCACGGGCCACACCUCUAUGCAAAGAGUCCUCAGCUGCGGUUCUGAGAGUAAGUCCAACGGUCUGUCCGGUGAAGGAUACGGAUAAGCUGAAUAGUGGCUUCAGCUAGCACUGCUGCUACUGGACUACAAAUAGGGUCUCCUGGAACGCACAGCGGUGGAUCACAGAGUUGCAGGCAGCAGUGUACACAUCCUGCCCCUCAGGAAGGUCUGUGCUGACCCGUCGUUCCUGCUGAGACUGUGGAGGUGGGUCAUCAGCUCGGACCCCAGACCCUGCCCCACUGUUCAUUCUAUCUCGGUCUCGGCUACGAGCUACUUCUCGGGCUGAGAGGAAACACUGAAAGAUUUCUGUAACAUGCAACACAAAAACAAGGUCUUAACACAUGGGGGGAGAAAAGCAAAGAAAAUAACAAUGAAAAUAGUCAAAAAAUUUGAACCAAA
ensembl:antisense Gm28379 predicted gene 28379